rnacentral:rRNA from 1 species
AAGAGUGAACUAGCUAACUGAAAUCACUUGAGACAUAAAAAUGUUAAUUGUGAUAAGGUAAGGGAAAAAUUUGAUAUUACCUUACUAUUAGUGUUGUCCAAAACUGGUGCCAGAAGACUCGGUAAGACCAGAAACGCAAACGUUAAUCGUCUUAAUCAGGCGUAAAGGGUUUGUAGGCUGCUUUUACUAUUUCUAUUUAAAAUAGCUCUGUUGCUUUUGUAACAGUUAAAUAGAGAUAUAAUAAAAGCUAGAAUCAAAAAGAGGAUAAGCCGAAUAAUACUUAGAGUAGGGAUGAUAUCCAUAGAUACUAAGGGGAAUACUAAAGGUGAAAGCUUUUAUCUACUAAUGAUUGACGCUGAGGAACGAAGGUGAGAAUAGGAAAUAGGAUUAGAUACCCAGAUACCUCUCACUGUCAACGAUGAAUGGUGGUUUGUUAGUUUUAAUAAAAACUGAUAACGAUGCUAACGCGAUAACCAUUCCGCCUUGCGAGUACGGUUGCAAAACUGAAACCAAAAAAAUUAGUCGGUCUCGAAGCAAACGAAGUGGAGCAUGUUAUUUAAUU